GCUAUUUUCGAGCUAGAUGUUUUGUUGGUUUUAAGGCUACUUCUCGAUGUGUCAAUGUUAAAUUUGGGAACACGUUCUUGUCAUAAUUUGGUAGACUUUUUGGAUCAAUUUCAUCAUUGCCUUGAAAAUUUACAAAGCAAGGAAGUAAAAGCAGAUUUUAGAUCGGCGUCCGGUGAAUCGGUUUUGCAAACGAUGUUCAAAGCAUUGGAGAGGUCUGCUUCUAGGGUGUUCACAAGGGAGGUUUUCAUGUUAUUUCGUUCCAUGCUUGAAAAGUGUUGUAGAGAUGGGCCAAGUCUCCAAAGAAAAUUGUCAGUGGAAACUGGUAUGAAGGUGGUUUUAUUUGGGACUCAACAUCGAUGGCUGGAGCUGGAGCCUUUCUUGAUAUGUCUAAUGAUGAUUUAAUUUCAAUGAUACAGUAGAGAAAGUUAGGCAUCAAAUUGAUAUGUUGGAAGAUGAUGAUGAGGACGACAUUGGCCCUUCAUUGGAAGAUGACAAUGAGAUUAAUUUUAGCAACUUUAGGCGGAGGGUUUUAGUGAUCACUGACUCUGAUGAAUCUGAUGCGAAUGGUAGUUCAUCUGUUAAGAGGCGUGCUCAAAAUUAUGUGGAUGACGAAUGGUGAAUUAGUUAUGCUUUAUGGUCUCUUCAACAAUGAUUAAGUAUUUAGUGGAUUGUAUUAGCACUUGUUUAAAUGGUAAAAGAGAACCUAGUAGUUCAGUGAAGUCAUGAUAUGUUUAUCUGAAUUUUUUUUUUGUAGAUCUUGAUGAAUACCAUUUUGGGCAUUGAAUCAUGCGGUAAAUUUAUCUAAUGGUGCUUAGUUUUGGUGGCAAUUAGUUGAAACUUCAAGUAUGUUCUCUAAAAGGCAAUGCUUUAUGUUUGAGCCGUGGACUUCAUGGCUAGGUCGACAUUUUCUACACCUGCAAGGAUGUUAUCACUUUUAUUAGUAUUUUGUAUUUUACUGUAACCAGCAUGAUAAAAUAGAUAUGGUUAAUGCCAAUGAAUCAUCAUAUCACAUAUGGGGAUUUUAUUUUAGUCUACUUUCCAUUGUUGACUCGA